UUGAACGCUGGCGGCCGGCCUAACACCUGCCAGUCGCACGGUAACAGGAAGAAGCUUGCUUCUUUGCUGACGAGUGGCGGACGGGUGAGUAAUGUCUGGGAAACUGCCUGAUGGAGGGGGAUAACUACUGGAAACGGUAGCUAAUACCGCAUAACGUCGCAAGACCAAAGAGGGGGACCUUCGGGCCUCUUGCCAUCGGAUGUGCCCAGAUGGGAUUAGCUAGUAGGUGGGGUAACGGCUCACCUAGGCGACGAUCCCUAGCUGGUCUGAGAGGAUGACCAGACACACUGGAACUGAGACACGGUCCAGACUCCUACGGGAGGCAGCAGUGGGGAAUAUUGCACAAUGGGCGCAAGCCUGAUGCAGCCAUGCCGCGUGUAUGAAGAAGGCCUUCGGGUUGUAAAGUACUUUCAGCGGGGAGGAAGGGAGUAAAGUUAAUACCUUUGCUCAUUGACGUUACCCGCAGAAGAAGCACCGGCUAACUCCGUG
rnacentral:rRNA from 1 species